rnacentral:rRNA from 1 species
UACGGGGGGAGCAAGCGUUGUUCGGAUUUACUGGGCGUAAAGGGCGCGUAGGCGGCGCAACAAGUCACUUGUGAAAUCUCCGGGCUUAACCCGGAGCGGUCAAGUGAUACUGUCGUGCUAGAGUGCGGAAGGGGCUACUGGAAUUCUCGGUGUAGCGGUGAAAUGCGUAGAUAUCGAGAGGAACACCUGCGGCGAAGGCGGGUAGCUGGGCCGACACUGACGCUGAUGCGCGAAAGCUAGGGGAGCAAACGGG